rnacentral:lncRNA from 1 species
CCCCCUCAUGUACGCAAUCCCAUCUUUUGAUAUUUUUUUUUCUCCCGAGUUUCAACAGCCACACAACAAAACUCUAACACUGCCUUCCCACUUGCAGUAGUAUUGCACUUCCUCAUAAAUUCCCCCAUAACCUAACCUUUUUCCCCUUUCCUUUAUAUCUACCUCUCCUUUCUCUUACUUUCGCUAUUCUCUUUUUUAUCUUCUUUUUUGAUGAUAAUGGCCACUACACUCUCGAGCCGGUCCAUAGACUCCUUACCGACACUUCGUUGGC